UUCACAUUGUAAUACUGAGACCCUCAACUCUCAGACCACACAGUCUCAUUCCAGUUAAGCCUUUAUUGCUGGCUCUUGGCAGACACUCUGCUCUCAAAAGAAUGAGAUGGUCAGAGUGCUGCCCCUGCCUUCAGUUGGCUCCAUAUUUAAGCACAAAAACCACAAAAGGGACAUUUGGGGUUCAGGCAAAGCAAGCAAGGCUGAAAGUUGCAGUCAGUCAGUCUGCAGUUGGCACCAUAGAUCAUUCUGUGUUCUUGGGGGAUUUUCAUGAACAAAAGAAUGCAAACUGCCCCAGUCAUGACAUUUUUGUGUGUCAUGGCUAAGUUCACAAAAUGGAGUCACCAUAGUCAAGUUGUCACAUCACACACAUAAAAACAGCUUUUUUUCUUUCUCUGUUCUGACCAAGUUAAC
rnacentral:lncRNA from 1 species